UACAGGGGGCCCGAGCGUUACUCGGAAUCACUGGGCUUAAAGGGUGCGUAGGCGGAUCAGGAAGUGUUUCGUGAAAACCCCCGGCUCAACCGGGGAAUUGCGGGGCAAACUCCUGAUCUUGAGGGAAGUAUGGGCGGACAGAACUAUCGGUGGAGCGGUGAAAUGCGUAGAUAUCGAUAGGAAUGCCGAUGGCGAAGGCGGUCCGCUGGGCUUCUCCUGACGCUCAGGCACGAAAGCGUGGGGAGCAAACAGG
rnacentral:rRNA from 1 species